AAUCAUCAAUAUUAGCAGGCGUCUGACUAUUCCCAAAUCCCUGAGUGUUAGUGUUUUGUUGUGUUCCCAAUCUAAAAUCCCCGAAGAUUGUCCAUCCUUCAUGCUCACCUGCACUGUCGUGUUCAUCCCUACACUGUUGCUGUUGGGACUCGAUAUGUGAAUAAUAUGGCUGGGAUAGGGUGGCCUCAGAAUCAUCAUCUCUCUCAUUUUCUUUUUGAAUAAUAUGGAACUAAAAAAAAAAAAAACAAAUUUUCAAAAAAAUCGAUCAUGGAUUAAAAAAAAAAAUCACAAAUUUUCAAAAAAUUCUAUCAUGGAUUACAAAAAAAAAU
rnacentral:lncRNA from 1 species